AGUAGCGGGGGAUAACCUGUCGAAAGAUAGGCUAAUACCGCAUACGACCUACGGGUGAAAGCGGAGGACCGCAAGGCUUCACACUAUUGGGGCGGCCGAUAUCGGAUUAGCUAGUUGGCGGGGUAAAAGCCCACCAAGGCUACGAUCCGUAGCUGGUCUGAGAGGACGAUCAGCCACACUGGAACUGAGACACGGUCCAGACUCCUACGGGAGGCAGCAGUGGGGAAUUUUGGACAAUGGGCGCAAGCCUGAUCCAGCCAUGCCGCGUGAGUGAAGAAGGCCUUCGGGUUGUAAAGCUCUUUCGGUGGGGAAGAAAUGGUACGUGCUAAUACCACGGACUGAUGACGGUACCCAAAGAAGAAGCACCGGCUAACUACGUGCCAGCAGCCGCGGUAAUACGUAGGGUGCAGGCGUUAAUCGGAAUUACUGGGCGUAAAGCGUGCGCAGGCGGUUUGUUAAGACAGAUGUGAAAUCCCCGGGCUUAACCUGGGAACCGCUUUUGUAACUGGCAAGCUAGAGUGUGGCAGAGGGGGGUGGAAUUCCAAGUGUAGCAGUGAAAUGCGUAGAUAUUUGGAGGAACACCGAUGGCGAAGGCAGCCCCCUGGGCUAACACUGACGCUCAUGCACGAAAGCGUGGGGAGCAAACAGGAUUAGAUACCCUGGUAGUCCACGCCCUAAACUAUGUCAACUGGUUGUCGGGGAAGCAAUUCCUUGGUAACGAAGCCAACGCGUGAAGUUGACCGCCUGGGGAGUACGGCCGCAAGGUUAAAACUCAAAGGAAUUGUCGGGGACCCGCACAAGCGGUGGAUUAUGUGGAUUAAUUCGAUACAACGCGAAAAACCUUACCUACCCUUGACAUGUACGGAAUCUCGCAGAGAUGUGAGAGUGCUCGAAAGAGAACCGUAACACAGGUGCUGCAUGGCUGUCGUCAGCUCGUGUCGUGAGAUGUUGGGUUAAGUCCCGCAACGAGCGCAACCCUUGCCAUUAGUUGCUACAUUCAGUUGGGCACUCUAAUGGAACUGCCGGUGACAAACCGGAGGAAGGUGGGGAUGACGUCAAGUCCUCAUGGCCCUUAUGGGUAGGGCUUCACACGUAAUACAAUGGUAGGUACAGAGGGCAGCCAACCCGCGAGGGGGAGCUAAUCCCAGAAAGCCUAUCGUAGUCCGGAUUGUAGUCUGCAACUCGACUACAUGAAGCCGGAAUCGCUAGUAAUCGCGGAUCAGCAUGUCGCGGUGAAUACGUUCCCGGGUCUUGUACACACCGCCCGUCACACCAUGGGAGUGGGUUCCACCAGAAGUAGUUAGCCUAACCGCAAGGAGGGCGACUACCACGGUGAGAUUCAUGACUGGGGUGAAGUCGUAACAAGGUA
rnacentral:rRNA from 1 species